CUGCUUCCAGAGGCACCCAGGAGCAUCUCUGAGCUGUGCAGUUUGCAAUCUUCUACCAAAGGGUGCGACAGUGAUCUUUAUCUCCAUGGGAGAUAUCUUCUGCUAAUGGGCCAUCUGUUAAAACCAGAUGCUCCACCCAGGGGGAGGAGCCAAAC